rnacentral:rRNA from 1 species
AGUAACGCGUAAACAACCUGCCCUUCGGAUGGGGAUAACAGCCGGAAACGGCUGCUAAUACCGAAUACGAUCUUUUCGUCGCAUGACGGAAAGAAGAAAGGAUGGCCUCUAUACAAAGCUAUCGCCGAAGGAGGGGUUUGCGUCUGAUUAGCUGGUUGGAGGGGUAACGGCCCAACAAGGCGAUGAUCAGUAGCCGGUCUGAGAGGAUGAACGGCCACAUUGGGACUGAGACACGGCCCAGACUCCUACGGGAGGCAGCAGGC